UACGUAGGUGGCAAGCGUUGUCCGGAAUUAUUGGGCGUAAAGCGCGCGCAGGCGGUCCUUUAAGUCCGAUGUGAAAGCCCACGGCUCAACCGUGGAGGGUCAUUGGAAACUGGGGGACUUGAGUGCAGGAGAGAAGAGUGGAAUUCCACGUGUAGCGGUGAAAUGCGUAGAGAUGUGGAGGAACACCAGUGGCGAAGGCGACU
rnacentral:rRNA from 1 species